UAAAUUUACUAACUUAUUUUUUUUUAAAGAUGGCGUGCAAUUUGUUGGUAUAUACAUACUAACUAAGGUGAGAGAGGUAUUAUUAUAUAUUAUUUUAAUUGUUAUAUUUUGGAGUGAGUCAUCAUAAUAUGUAUUUAAUCUAUUAUAUUUUAUACUACUGCGAAUGACUAUGGCAACACCAUUAUGUUUAUUACCACAAUCAUUGCGUUCUAUGGAGUAUCCUUUAAUAUUUAAGCGUUGUGUAGGCUUAAGCCAUGUUUCGCAAACUAAAGCUAUAUCAAUAUUAUUAUCAUACAAAAAAAUUACAAAAAUAUGUCGAUUACAUAGCAAACUUUGAGCAUUCCACUGUACAAUUUUUAAUUUGUUUGUGAAUUGGAACUAUUUUUUUUUGUGUCACUGGGGUUGCAAAUAUCAUUCAAUACUUCUAACACAUUUUUAGAAGAUAUUGGGGUAUCUUGGGUCUUAUUUAAUGUUAUCAUUUUUAUGAUGCUUUGCACUAAAAGGUUUAGUGCCUUGUCAUUACUUUUCAAUAAAGACAGAAGAUCAAGAGGCUUCUUUGGACCAAGUGGGGGGAAACUUUCAUGGUUGAAUAUGUCAGCAAAUGAUGGUGGCUUAACUUUCUGUCUGUUUUCUUGGAUUUUUUUCUGUUUAAUUGGACACUGGGCUGAGAUACUGACAUGAUUGCCAUCGCAGUGGAAGCAUUUUGCCUUUUCAAUAGGGGUUGUCUCUUGUUCCAAUGGGCAUCUCCGCAUUGGAGGACUCUACGAAAACAACAAACUCUGCAGCUCCGGAAUCCUCUGGGUAACGCCUCUUGUAAUCUGUUACUAAAUAAGGUUUUGAAAUAUCUAAAACUUCAACCUCAGAUUCGGACGACGUCGUUUCUACGUCGGACUUAUCACCCUCAUCAUUCUUCUUCCUUUUUUUUCUUGUUCUCACCUUCCCCAUUGCUAUUUUUUAAUUUAUUAUGUAUGCAACAAACUUUUUAUUGGUUUUUAUUAGUAAUUUACGUAUUUGCAGUAGUUUUAAUGAAUAUUAUUAAUAAAUUUUUCGAAAAUCC